rnacentral:tRNA from 1 species
AUGAAAUUAGUAUAAAUAACAGUACAAAUUUUUUCCAAAAAUUUAGUUAUAUUUCAUA